GCUGAUGCUUCCAUGGGCUCAAACUCAAGACCAAAACGACACAAAACAACAAAACACCAGAGCCCAAGAAAACUCAUAUGACGGUUUCCAGUAAGGUCAGUAUUUUAGACAGUAGGGUCAGCAGGGUAGAGAAGAGUCUUAAGGCCACACAACAAAUGUCUUCAAUGCUCAGGAAAUGGAUUGUGUUACUACAUUAGGUUUAGAUGAUGCCUGAAGAUCUUGUUGGAAUUUUUCUAUUAAAAUGAUUUUUCAUGAGAUAAUUAAUAUUGUGAUAAAAUAUGUUGAGCACACAGCUUUAAAUUCAUACAACAGUGAACAUUUGGAAGCGUCCUUUUAUGGUGUGUCUUUCCUCACUCUCCUGUAGAAAAUUAUUCCCAGGAGGCAAGACAAAGAUGGCCAGUGUGAAUGUUGGGUGCAUAGUCACAGAGCUUAAUGACAGGGAUAUGUCCUUAGAUCUCAUUAUUGUGCAAACAUCAUGGAAUAUACAUACACAAACCAAGAUGGCUUCAGUCUUACCAGGCAAUAUAGUCUUAUCAGACCACUGGUGUGUAUGUGGUCUGUCACUGAUUAAAACCAAUAGUUAGUUAGUGUGUGCCUGAAUCUAAGGGAAAGGCCAACUUUCAAGGUUGGCUUGCUUUCAUUUAGAUGAGUUUAAUUGAAAGUGUGGAGGCCAAUACAGCUGAGCAGUAUACGUUAUUAGUCUCUCUCUCUCUAGCUUUGGCACAGAGCAACCCUAUGGGACAUAGUUGUCU
rnacentral:lncRNA from 1 species